UACGGGGGGGGUAAGCGUUGUUCGGAAUUACUGGGCGUAAAGGGCUCGUAGGCGGCCAACUAAGUCAGACGUGAAAUCCCUCAGCUUAACCGGGGAACUGCGUCUGAUACUGGAUGGCUUGAGUUCGGGAGAGGGAUGCGGAAUUCCAGGUGUAGCGGUGAAAUGCGUAGAUAUCUGGAGGAACACCGGUGGCGAAGGCGGCAUCCUGGACCGACACUGACACUGAGGAGCAAAAGCCAGGGGAGCAAACGGG
rnacentral:rRNA from 1 species